CUUACACUGGCUCCCAGUUAAGUUUAGGACAGAUUUCAAAAUCUUCCUUUUAACAUAUAAAGCCUUAAAUCGCCAAGGUCCGGCUUACUUGUCUGAACUUAUCAUGACUUACAAACCAGAGCGCACAUUAAGAUCUCAGGAUGCCGGUCUGCUUAUGAUUCCAAGGAUUAAUACAGUAAAAGAGAGAAGUUGUGCUUUUAGUUACAGGGCCCCUAAACUGUGGAAUGGUCUGCCUGCUACUAUAAGAGAUGUCCCUUCGGUCUCAGCUUUCAAAUCCCAGCUGAAGACUCACUACUUCAGUUUAGCACACCCUGACUAGAGCUGCUGAUUAACUAUACAGACUGCAUCUCUGUUGUUAGUCAUUAGCACUAAAACAUAAGUAAUGCGAUAGUUAUAAUUUGUUACUAACCCUCACCUAUUAUGUUUCUCUUCUCGGUACUCAAAUGUGGCACUUGGUGCCACUGCCCACCUGCCAAGUUGUUUUGCCUGCCUAAGGUAAAGUCAUCCCUGAUGGAGGAUCGCAGGAAUCAUCAGGUAGUGGGGUCCUUUCAUCGGAUUGGCUGGCCCAGCGCUGACUCAGCCCUAGAAUGGAGGAGCAGCCCACAGAAGAGUAUGGUCCAUACUUCCAGACCAUUCCAGAAGUCCCUCCCCUUUCAGUCCCUUCUCUAAAUAAGAAAUUAGACAACUGGAAGUCAGCGUUCAUUUUUGGACCCACAUCUGCUGAAGUCACACACAAGUCCUGAUUUUGAAGACUGUAGGGAACAAACUAUUUCAGCUUUUCUGUUAUGAUUUGUAAACAGGGAUUUCUGUGAGAUUAAAACCUUUUAUCUUGACCCGUCUCAGUUCUCUCCACAUUGGCCACAACUGUAAAACGAUGUAAGAAAAACAUCACAUGUGAAACGAUAAACCAGGGUUAAACAAUAACUGUUAUGUUACAGUUCUGUGGCCUAUGUUUAUUCUCCAUUUCUUUGUCAUUUUUCUAUAUUCUGAAGUAUAUGAUGUAUUUUUGUAUGUUUAUUUAAUUAUUGUUAAUAUUGUUCUGUUUAUUUCUUUAAUGUUUAUUUAUGGUGCGCUGUGUUAUGUUCCUUGUCUUCUGUGGGUGAAACCCCAAGAGGUGGGACCACCAUCAUGUCACUGCUGAGGGAUGGCCUUUCAGGCUCAAGGAGGUCCCUCAAUGGCUCAUUCAUUGUCGAAAAGUGCAUUUUAUUCUGGUUUCUGAUUAUCUUGUCUCUGUUUUGGAUUAGGAUUUCUGAAUGACAGAUAAGGAUUUGUUAGGGUUGCAUGUUUGCCAAACCCUUUUUGCCUAAUUUUUGUUCUUCUUUUGUUAAAUUCUAAUAAGUGUAUUCAUUUAUAAAUUUCUUA